rnacentral:tRNA from 1 species
GUAAGAGCCAAAAUAAUUGUAAAUUAUUAAAAGAGAGAUCCUCUUUCA